GACGUAGGGUGCAAGCGUUGUCCGGAUUUAUUGGGCGUAAAGAGUUCGUAGGCGGUUGCCUAAGGCUGAUGGUAAAUCCCGGAGCUCAACUUCGGUAUGGCAUUGGAAACUGGGUGGCUUGAGUAUGGUAGAGGUUACGGGAAUUCCUGGUGUAGCGGUGAAAUGCGUAGAUAUCGAGAGGAACACCUGCGGCGAAGGCGGGUUGCUGGGCCGACACUGACGCUGAUGCGCGAAAGCCAGGGGAGCGAACGGG
rnacentral:rRNA from 1 species